rnacentral:rRNA from 1 species
CACAAGCGUGGAUGAUGUGGAUUAAUUCGAUGCAACGCGAAAACCUUACUACCCUUGACAUGUCCGGAAUCCUGCAGAGAUGCGGGAGUGCCCGAAAGGGAAUCGGAACACAGGUGCUGCAUGGCUGUCGUCAGCUCGUGUCGUGAGAUGUUGGGUUAAGUCCCGCAACGAGCGCAACCCUUAUCAUUAGUUGCUACGCAAGGGCACUCUAAUGAGACUGCCGGUGACAAACCGGAGGAAGGUGGGGAUGACGUCAAGUCCUCAUGGCCCUUAUGGGUAGGGCUUCACACGUCAUACAAUGGUCGGUACAGAGGGUUGCCAAGCCGCGAGGUGGAGCCAAUCCCAGAAAGCCGAUCGUAGUCCGGAUUGUUCUCUGCAACUCGAGAGCAUGAAGUCGGAAUCGCUAGUAAUCGCGGAUCAGCAUGUCGCGGUGAAUACGGUUCCCGGGUCUU